UACGAAGGGGGGCUAGCGUUGCUCGGAAUGACUGGGCGUAAAGGGCGCGUAGGCGGAUGGCUUUGUCGGGCGUGAAAUUCCAGGGCUUAACCUUGGGGCUGCGUUCGAGACGGGUUGUCUUGAGUGGGGAAGAGGGUCGUGGAAUUCCCAGUGUAGAGGUGAAAUUCGUAGAUAUUGGGAAGAACACCGGUGGCGAAGGCGGCGAUCUGGGUCGAUACUGACGCUGAGGUGCGAAAGCGUGGGGAGCAAACAGG
rnacentral:rRNA from 1 species